rnacentral:rRNA from 1 species
AGGGAUUGCCCUAGUAACGGCGAGUGAAGCGGCAACAGCUCAAAUUUGAAAUCUGGCGUCUUUGGCGUCCGAGUUGUAAUUUGCAGAGGGCGCUUUGGCAUUGGCAGCGGUCCAAGUUCCUUGGAACAGGACGUCACAGAGGGUGAGAAUCCCGUACGUGGUCGCUAGCCUCUACCGUGUAAAGCCCCUUCGACGAGUCGAGUUGUUUGGGAAUGCAGCUCUAAAUGGGAGGUAAAUUUCUUCUAAAGCUAAAUACUGGCCAGAGACCGAUAGCGCACAAGUAGAGUGAUCGAAAGAUGAAAAGCACUUUGGAAAGAGAGUUAAAAAGCACGUGAAAUUGUUGAAAGGGAAGCGCUUGCAGCCAGACUUGCCUGUAGUUGCUCAUCCGGGUUUUUACCCGGUGCACUCUUCUACGGGCAGGCCAGCAUCAGUUUGGGCGGUUGGAUAAAGGUCUCUGUCAUGUACCUCUCUUCGGGGAGAACUUAUAGGGGAGACGACAUGCAACCAGCCUGGACUGAGGUCCGCGCAUCUGCUAGGAUGCUGGCGUAAUGGCUGUAAGCGGCCCGUCUUGAAACACGGACCAAGGAGUCUAACAUCUAUGCGAGUGUUUGGGUGUCAAGCCCGAGCGCGUAAUGAAAGUGAACGGAGGUGGGAACCUUUCGGGGUGCACCAUCGACCGAUCCUGAUGUCUUCGGAUGGAUUUGAGUAAGAGCAUAGCUGUUGGGACCCGAAAGAUGGUGAACUAUGCUUGAAUAGGGUGAAGCCAGAGGAAACUCUGGUGGAGGCUCGCAGCGGUUCUGACGUGCAAAUCGAUCGUCAAAUUUGGGCAUAGGGGCGAAAGACUAAUCGAACUAUCUAGUAGCUGGUUCCUGCCGAAGUUUCCCUCAGGAUAGCAGUAACGUUUUCAGUUUUAUGAGGUAAAGCGAAUGAUUAGAGGCCUGGGGGUUGAAACAACCUU